rnacentral:piRNA from 1 species
UGGUAACAGGAAAGCGUCUCCAAAUGCAGCC